GAUGGACACUAGAUGGCUUCAUCUGCAUCCCACCAGUAUCUACAGCUGCAGCACCACCGUUACUCCGAUCAUCAACAGUCUCCACUACAUAAUCAGACGGUGGUAGCUGUUCCUCUUGUAGGUGACGAUGGUAAGAGUCAUCACCAUAACCACGACCUGAGUUAUAAUCCAUCGAUCACUGCAGAUGAAUCAAACACACACACAAAAACCUAAACUUUCUCCUUCUCCCGAUGAAACCCAAACAAUAACAAGUAAAUUUUUUUUUUUUUCUACGAUUCAGAUUCUUAGAAUCUAGAGUUCCGAUGGCAUCAAAAACGUUCAAAGUUUUGAACUUCAAGCCCAGACGAGAAGUUUUUCUUUUGAACAAAAUUAUUUUUUUUGAUUCGGCGUUAUCAACUUAAUCAUCGGAAUAUACGAAAACGACAACGUUUCUAAUGUGGUCAACGUUGGUCAAACAAUUCUUUAUAGCUUUUUAGUCAACACGGAGAUUAGGUGUUAUGGUGUAAAACGACGACUAACAUGUGAUGGAAUUUGUUUGUUUUCCACAAAAUAAUAUAUAAAAAAUAAAGCAGUUGCAAAAUCCUCUUAUUUCAACUCAGAAAACCAAUUUUUAUUUUAAGUUGGUUAGUUUAAUCAGUUAUGAAUAUAAUAUCCGAAAGUGCACAUAAAAGUGCGAGAAGAAUUUAUCUUAUUGACCAGUGACAAUGUUUUAGUAAAUAUUUUAGGUUUAUAGAAACUAUAAACCCAGCCUAAAAUUUCUAUUCAUAAGAUUUUAGUGAAUAUCUCCACACAAAAAGAUGAGACUAUUUUAGUUGUAAAAGUAUAAAAUCCAUGGUGGCAACAACAAAAAAUAUCAGUUUUCCACACAACUAUAUUUUCUUAUUCUUCCAUAUAGGUAUUAUUUUUUUAACGUCUAAAUAGAUUUUUAUUAAUAUACCAACGUACCAAUGGAGUUAUAGAAUUGUAUACAAAGCAACAAAAUACAAAUUAUUACACAAAGAGAAAUAUGCAACAUGUUAAAAACAAAUCAUUUAUAGAAGUGAAGAUUGGUGUUACUUUUUUUGCAGUAAGCUUUAUACGCUAAUAGAACAUAUGAUCUUUAUUUUCUUUCUCCAAAAUUAGUCUCACUCUCAUACGAUGGAUAUGCCAUUUUGGCAUUUUAUUCCUUUUCCAUAUCGUAAAAGUAAAAAUCCAUUAUAUCCAUAUAGGUAUUAUAUUGAGUUAAAUGUGCUGUUGAUCAAUAAAUAUCAAAUUUCAACCAAAAAUUAUAUAUUUAAACGGCUAAGAUAAUGAGAACUUUCAUAUAAGCGGCAGAUAGUAAAAAACUUAUUUCUACAAUUAUAAUGUUAAUAAGUGUGUAGAAUCAAAAUGAUAAUUGUCACAGAACUGGAGAAAAAACAUGUGACCACCACAUGCUAUUAGAUGUCCAAGUUUGACUUUUAUCAGUCACUCACAAACGCCUUGGCUAAUAAUAAAACUCCUCGUGCUAUUUAAUUGUGUUUUGGUUAUGACUUAUGCUUAAUUCACUUACCUAAAAAAUCACUUUUACUUAAUGGAAGGAUGUAAUAAGAUAGACCCUUUGUUUCAAAAUUUUCAAAAUAAUUCAUUUUUAGAAUUUUCACACAUACUAAAUUUUAGUUAUAAAUGUAUAGUUUUUUGUGAUUAUAUAUUUUAUAUAAUUUUAAACCAAUAAAAAUUCAAAAAAUGGAACACAACUAAUUUAUUUUUUUUGGAGUUUACAAUUAAUCAUUAUUGGUUAAUAAUGAAUAUAUUAAAAAUUCAAAAAUAUAUCUUUUGAGAAAAAAAAAAUUAUUUCAAAAACAUGCAUCUAUCAAACGAUGGAGGGGUAUUUAGCCUAAUUUUAACGUGUCCAGCAUGCAAGUUCUCAUCACAACUUUAAAUUUUACAAAAAAAAAUUCCUUUGGUUUCCCUCUUCGACUUGAUGGUCCACCCUUCUUUCUGGCGAUUUCGUCUUCAAGAAAUCCCUCCGCGUCUUCGCAAUCGUUGCUUCCACACCUCUCCGGGUGCAUACACACCAACCUCUUCUUCUCAGAGGAUCGUUUCGGUUUCCUCAUGCUGGUCACUUACGACUGAUAACGAUCACCAAUCCCUCUUCCGUUACUUCGACCACGUUCUUGAAUCAAGCGUGACAGCUCAGCAAUGCCAGCAAGUUCACGCCCAAGUACUUCUAUCCGAUUUAAUCUACCGUUCCGGGUCACUAGCUGCGAAAAUCGUCUCGGUUUACACCCGGUUUGGUCUCCUCAACGAUGCCCGUAACGUGUUCGACACUGUUCCGCUUGUUCUGUACUCGGAUUUGCGUUUAUGGAACUCGAUUUUAAAAUCCAACGUCUCUCACGGACAACACGAGAACGCUCUUGAGCUCUACGAUGCAAUGCGUGAACGAGGUCUCACAGGGGACGGGUUUAUCUUACCCUUGAUCCUUCGAGCUUGUCGUUACUCAAGUCGUUUUGGUUUGUGCAGGGCUUUGCAUAGUCAUGUGAUUAAGAUUGGUUUGCUAGAGAAUCUCCAUGUAGUGAACGAGUUGCUUGCACUGUAUCCAAAGGCGGGAAGGAUGGGAGAUGCACUCAAGCUGUUCGUUGAAAUGCCUGUGAGAAACCGAAUAUCGUGGAACGUCAUGAUUGCAGGUUUUUCUCGAGAGCAUGAUUGUGGAAGUGCUGUUAGGGUCUUUGAAUGGAUGCAACGCGAAGAGUUUGUACCGGACGAAGUGACUUGGACUUCGGUUUUAUCUUGUCAUUCUCAAUGUGGGAAGCUUGAAGAUGUGAUCAAAUAUUUUGAUGUUAUGAGGAUGAGUGUGAAUGUAGUUAGUGGCGAAGCUCUUGCUGUUUUCUUCUCCGUGUGCGCUGAGUUGGGAGCGUUCGGUAAUGCUGAGAAAGUUCAUGGGUUUGUUGUAAAAGGCGGGUUUGAAGAGUAUUUGCCAUCGAAGAACGCGUUGACGUACGUGUACGGGAAGCAAGGGAGGGUUAAAGAAGCUGAGCAGUUGUUUAGGAAGAUAAGGAACAAAGGUAUAGAGAGCUGGAAUGCUUUGAUAACUUCGUUCGUGGAUGCUGGCAAACUCGAUGAGGCGCUCUCGUUGUUUACUGAGUUGGAGGAGAUGAAUGGCUUUUGCAACGUCAAGGCUAAUGUAGUUACUUGGACUUCGAUUAUCAAGGGGUGUAACGUGCAAGGAAGAGGAGAUGAUUCGCUUGAAUAUUUCCGGCGAAUGCAGUUUUCGAAAGUUUUGUCUAAUUCGGUGACGAUUUGUUGUAUACUAUCCAUCUGUGCGGAGCUUCCAGCUUUGAAUCUGGGGAAAGAGAUCCAUGGACAUGUGAUUAGAACCUCGAUGAGCGAUAACAUUCUGGUUCAGAAUGCAUUGGUGAAUAUGUACAGCAAGUGUGGGUCACUCGGUGAAGGGAAUCAAGUAUUUGAAGCAAUUAGGGACAAGGAUUUGAUCUCAUGGAACUCGAUGAUCAAAGGUUAUGGUAUGCAUGGGUUUGGUGAGAAAGCUCUGAGUAUGUUCGACAGAAUGAUAAAAUCCGGGUUACAUCCUGAUGGAAUUGCUUUGGUAGCUGUUCUUUCAGCUUGUAGUCACGCAGGGCUUGUUGAAAAGGGACGCGAGAUUUUCAGUUCGAUGAGCAACAGAUUUGGAAUAGAGCCACAACAAGAGCACUAUGCAUGUAUUGUUGACCUCCUUGGCCGUGUAGGAUUUUUAAAAGAAGCUAGCGAGAUUGUGAAGAGCAUGCCUAUGGAGCCUAACGUCUGUGUGUUAGGAGCUCUAUUAAAUUCUUGCCGGAUGCACAAAGACAUGUACAUCGCAGAGAAUAUAGCAUCACAGCUUUUUGAUCUUGAACCGGAGAAGACUGGAAGCUAUAUGUUGCUGUCUAACACUUACUCUGCUAGCGGAAGAUGGGAAGAUUCUGCAAAGGUUAGGGCUUUGGCGAAGAAAAAGGAUCUUAAGAAACUAUCUGGAAGCAGUUGGAUUGAGUUAAAGAAGAAAGUCUACAAAUUCUCGUCAGGAUCAUCAGUACAGAGCGAGUUUGCGAGCGUCUACCCGGUUCUUGAGGAUUUGGUAAGUCAUAUGUGGAAGAAAGGCCCUACUACACACGAUGGACACCGUUACGAGGAUGAUCAUGACUUAUGGACAGCGUAAUAGAUGAGUAUAUCCCGCACAGACUGAGAAGAUGCAGAAGAAACAAAACCAAAUCUACAGAACUUAUCAGCAAUGCUACAGACCUUUAUCAAACUAGUCUCAAAAGUGAAGAGUAUUGCAGGUUCUGAUAAUCCACGGCGUUAUCUUUGAUGUGCUAAAUGAUGAUCGUAGGCAAAGCUAAAGAACGCUAUUGCCUGUCCUGUACUACCGAGAAAUGUCUAGCUGCUGCAGAACCAAGUUGAGUUCAGCCUUGAAACGUUUAAUCUAGCACUGAAGAUCGCACACAAUUCUAGAACACCCACCAAUUGGUUCAUGGUCACACAGAUCAGCGUCGAAGUCAAAGAUAAUGGUGUGCAUAACGAUAUCUUUCUGAGAUUGUACUAUAACAGUUCUAAGUUCAAUCAUACUCGUACAUUACUUUCAAAUUUAUGAAAUAAUCUCAAUACCAACUAUAACGUUUAACACCUUUUGUAAUUAAACAUGCUUGGCAUCAAGCAGCCCCCACCCUCACAGCAGUUGAAUGUGAAGAAUUGGUUACAAGUAUCCCAAUCUAUCUCGCAAGUCUUAACUGUUCCUCAAAAACUAAAACCAAAAAAAAAGUCUUUUUACAAAGUCUCUGCAACAGCGUGAAGUUCUUACUUCUGAUAAGGAUGGUAUCGACCUGGCCCUAUACCAUUGCUCCCAUUUCCUCUGCCACUACUUGAGCCACUGUUGCCGUCUCCAUGAGCUUUCCCACCUCCAUAAGCAGCUGCCGCAGCAACACCAUAGCCACCCAUAUGGCUAUAACCGCCAGAUCCAUAGCCAGGGUUAAACAUUUGGCCUCCAUAGCCAUAACCAUAACCAUAGCCAUACCCACCACCGUAACCAUAAAAUCCAGCGGCGGCAUUAACCAUGGAGUUCCCGGCGUAGGCUCCAUAACCGCCAUAACCGCCAUACAUAUUGUAAUCUUCAUUUGCAUUCCCACCAUAACAAUCUUCCUGAUCAUACUUGCCAGUAGCACCAUAGGAGCGAAAGCUGUUAUCUCUCCCGGCUCUCUUUGGUUCAGCCCUCUUUAUAUCGACCUAUUGAGUCAUCAUCAAUGCUUACGAUCACUAACUAGUAACUACGGUUCUUUAGCUUAAAUUUGAAAACAAAAGAGGUAAAAGAGAAGGUUACCUGUUUGUCACCGAGCUCAUGGACUUUACCAUCGGAGAAAAGUCUGUCCACAGAAUCUUCAGCGAGAAAAGUUACAAAACCGAACCCUCUUGACCUUCCAGUGUGGUGGUCGUACACGAUCUGAUGCUCAAUUAUGUCACCAUAUACACAGAAAUACUUCUUCAGCUCAUCUACAAAUACGAAAAGCCACAUUAACAGCUACAGUAAACAACCACAUACAGACCAUAGAAACUCUUACCUUCUUCCAAAAAUGGUGGAAGGCCACCAACAAAGAUUUUCCUAGUUUUUGAUACUGCUUUGGUAUCAGUAUCCCUGUCUCCUCUAGGAACUGUCCUUUUCAGGUCAACCUAAUAUAUAAAUGGCGGAAUUAACUAAAUCAUCCAACAAGUUAUGAAAUGAGAAACUUUAGGUGAUAACUACCUUCCGGUCAUCUAUUACAUGCUCUUCUUCCUCCAAAACUUUCUCUGCAACAGCUGAAUCAGCAAAAGUCACAAACCCAAACCCCCUUGGCUUUCCAGUCAUUCUAUCUCUCAUGAUCACAGAGUCUACAACUUCUCCAAACUUCUCAAAGUACUUCCCAAAAUUUUCUGGAUAUCAAAAGUGGAAUCAAAACGCAAAGAAAAAAAAUAAACCAACAGAACAAGAGAGACCUUUUGAGUCUUCCAACGUGAUAAGAAUUUAAGACAAAUCAUUCAUGUUAAGCUCAAUUCAGACAGUGAAAAAGACACAACAGAAACAUGUUUACCUUCAGUUGUUUCCCAAGAAACUCCACCAACGAAUAGUUUCCUAACACAACAACACUUUCCAUCAAAAUCCUAAGACAUGAACAAAACAAAAAAAAAGCACUAACCCAGGAGAACACAUGGACGAAGAAGAGUGACGAUGGACACUAGAUGGCUUCAUCUGCAUCCCACCAGUAUCUACAGCUGCAGCACCACCGUUACUCCGAUCAUCAACAGUCUCCACUACAUAAUCAGACGGUGGUAGCUGUUCCUCUUGUAGGUGACGAUGGUAAGAGUCAUCACCAUAACCACGACCUGAGUUAUAAUCCAUCGAUCACUGCAGAUGAAUCAAACACACACACAAAAACCUAAACUUUCUCCUUCUCCCGAUGAAACCCAAACAAUAACAAGUAAAUUUUUUUUUU
rnacentral:lncRNA from 1 species